rfam:Triticum aestivum genome assembly, contig: Triticum_aestivum_CS42_TGACv1_scaffold_434979_5DL
UAUAUACUCACUCCGUCCGGAAAUACUUAUCAUCAAAAUGAAUAAAAGGCGAUGUAUCUAGACGUUCUAGAUACAUCUCCUUCUAUCCAUUUUGAUGACAAGUAUUUUCGGAACGGAGGGAGUACAUU